rnacentral:piRNA from 1 species
UUCUUGAUAAUAUGUCCAGCU